rnacentral:lncRNA from 1 species
AAAAGUUAGAGGUAUUGUACUGUAAUAUUUCGAGUCCCAAAACGUGCAAUUAUCGAAACUAUAUUUUCCUAUAAAUAGAAGCUCAUUCUUUCUUUAUUUCUCACCAAUUCACUAAAGCUAUAGAGCAAUUAUUAUAGAGAGAAAGAAGAAGAGAAGUCUACUACCUCUCUACUCCAGUAUCCAGUUUCUUUCUAAGGUAAGGGGUAUUAUUUCUUUCAUAUUCAUGAAGAGAGUUAUUAUUAUUCCAUUCCUUAUUAUUAUGUUGGAAUAACCUGUCUAUACGAAGUAUUGCAUACAUGGUGAAAUUCUUCUAUUAUUAAAUUCUUUAUUAUUAUGUCGGAAUAUCCUGUCUGUGCGGAUUACGAAUGACCUGGUUCCAUUCUUUACUAUUCUGUUGGAAUAACCUGUCUGUGCGGUCUAUCACAUGUCUGGUGAAUUCUGUUGUUAUUCCAUUCUUUAUUAUUCUGUUGGGAUAUCUUGUCUGUGCGGUUUACGCAUGACCUGGUUCCAUUCUUUAUUAUUCUGUUGGAAUAUCCUGUCUGUGCGGUUUACGCAUGACCUGGUUCCAUUCUUUAUUAUUCUGUUGAGAAUAACCUGUCUGUGCGGUCUAUCGCAUGCAUGGUGAAUUCUUCUAUUAUUCCAUUCUUUAUUAUUCUGUUGGAAUAACAUGUCUAUGUGGAUUACCGCAUGCAUGGUGAAUGAUCAUUUGUAUUCAUAUGAAUAGUAUUUUCAUUCAAAAGGGGUUUCUGUCAGGGGCAGUUUCGUAAUUUUUCUGACUCAAAAAUUUUGGAAAAAUUUAAAAUGAUAAUUUGAUGAGUUUUCUAGAUUGUGUCCAAAAAUAGAAAUUUUUGGAUGUAUAGAUUAAGGAGUUAUGAAUUUUCUGGGAAAAGACUAUUUUAAAAGUAAACCCUUAUAACUCUUUGUGGUUAACUCCAUAAUUGGUGAAAUUUUUAUUGGGAGUACAUGUAUAUAACAGGAGUAUACCCUGUAAAUUUCAGAAUUUUUGGACAAAAGUACAAUUUAUAAUAAAUGUCUAAAUAUUCGGCAGUUUUGGCCAUAUGAAAAAUAGUAAAUAAAUUUAAAAAUUUCGAGAAAAAUAUAUGUUCAAUAUGAGACUAUAUUUUGUUAAAUCCCAGAAAAGAAAUAUUUUUGGGACUGAUUUGAUAUUUUUCAUAAAAAUGAACUAGUUAUGAGUAAAUGAAAUAAAUAUGUUAUGUGAAGUAACAAAAUUGAAAAAUAGGAUUUUAUGGCUUGAAAAUCCUAUAUAGGGUAUAUGCAGAUUUUUGAUGAGGAAUUUGAUCAUUGGUGAUGAAAUCUUAUGAGUAUGGCAUUUUUGAGUGAUUAAAAUGCAUUAAUUGAUAAAGUGUAAACAAUUAAAAUAAAUUGUUUAUAAGUUUAAGAAGUGAUUAAAAUAUUGUUAUAAUAUUAAUAAUAUUAGAUGAUGAGUUUAUUAAGUGAUUGAUAAUAUUUGGAUAAAUUUAAAGUCUUUAAUAUUUAUCCUUNNNNNNNNNNNNNNNNNNNNNNNNNNNNNNNNNNNNNNNNNNNNNNNNNNNNNNNNNNNNNNNNNNNNNNNNNNNNNNNNNNNNNNNNNNNNNNNNNNNNNNNNNNNNNNNNNNNNNNNNNNNNNNNNNNNNNNNNNNNNNNNNNNNNNNNNNNNNNNNNNNNNNNNNNNNNNNNNNNNNNNNNNNNNNNNNNNNNNNNNNNNNNNNNNNNNNNNNNNNNNNNNNNNNNNNNNNNNNNNNNNNNNNNNNNNNNNNNNNNNNNNNNNNNNNNNNNNNNNNNNNNNNNNNNNNNNNNNNNNNNNNNNNNNNNNNNNNNNNNNNNNNNNNNNNNNNNNNNNNNNNNNNNNNNNNNNNNNNNNNNNNNNNNNNNNNNNNNNNNNNNNNNNNNNNNNNNNNNNNNNNNNNNNNNNNNNNNNNNNNNNNNNNNNNNNNNNNNNNNNNNNNNNNNNNNNNNNNNNNNNNNNNNNNNNNNNNNNNNNNNNNNNNNNNNNNNNNNNNNNNNNNNNNNNNNNNNNNNNNNNNNNNNNNNNNNNNNNNNNNNNNNNNNNNNNNNNNNNNNNNNNNNNNNNNNNNNNNNNNNNNNNNNNNNNNNNNNNNNNNNNNNNNNNNNNNNNNNNNNNNNNNNNNNNNNNNNNNNNNNNNNNNAUUGCUUAUUCCGCUGCAGUUAAACUUGAUGUCUAUUGUAUUUUAUCAGUUUAACAUUGUUGAAGACUAAUGAUAAUUUAUUCUGCAUUAUCUUAGUCAUAAUAUUUCUUACUGGGCUAGUUGAGCUCACCCUUUUUUUCACUAUUCUCUUCAGAAAAUGAGAAUAUAGCUGGGACGAGUCGGGGAAUGGAGUGACGGUCCAGAUGAUAGCAUUAGUAGUCCUCACUAUUCUGUUAAAUAGUGUGAUAAUAAAUAUGAUGAGGACUCCAUUGAGUGUGAAUAUUGUCUAGAUGAUAAUAUUUGUAUUAAAACUCGUAGCAUAUAUUUUGUCGUAUAUUACACGACGUUUGUAUAAUUAAGUUUGUAUUUAUAUUUUGUACCAUGUAUUUGGCGACUCAAGAUGGGUGAUGUAUAUCUGUUUUGGGGGCGUCACAAAAACGACUGAGAAUCUUUGCAGCAUAUGUGAAUUGAUGAACAAAAAUUCCAAAUGCUAAAUGCUCCACUUGUAUUCCCAAACAGAAUUUUGUCUUUCCAAGAUCUUUCAUUUCAAAUUCAUCUUUUAAAUAAGUAGCAGUUCUUGUGAGUUCUUCAAGAGUACCUACAAGAUUCAAAUCAUCCACAUAUACAGUAAUGAUGGAAAAUCCACUUUGUGAUCUCUUAAUAAAAAUACAUGAACAUACUUGAUCAUUUAUAUAUCCAUCUUUUAUUAAAUAAUCACUAAAUCGAUUAUACCACAUACGACUAAACUGUUUCAACCCAUACAACGAGCGUUGUAACUUGAUUGAAUAUAUGUGACGGGACUUUUGUAAUUCAGCCAUUUUCAAUCCUUCAGGGAUUCUCAUGUAAAUCUCAUUGUCAAGUGAGCCAUAUAGGUAUGCAGUUACAACAUCCAUCAGACGUGUUUCCAAACCUUCCAUGGUUGUCAUACCUAUCAGAAAGCGAAAAGUAACUUCAUCCAUUAGUGGAGAGUAUGUAUCCUGAUAAUCAAUACCAGAUUUUUGUGAAAACCCUUGAGCUACAAGUCGGGCUUUGUAUCUCACAAUUUUAUUUUUCUCAUUUCGCUUUCGUACAUAUACCCAUUUGUUUCCAAUCGGGAUUACACCCAGCGGUGUUUGGACUACUGGUCCAAAUACUUCUCUUUUCAAUAGAGAUUGUAGCUCAGUUUGAAUAACAUCUUUUCAUUUUGGCCAAUUUUUUCUUUUCCGACAUUCUUUCACGUUUUGUGGUUCAGGAUCCGUGUCAGGAAUCAAAGUAAUAUCUGAUGCUAUAGAGAAAGCAAAUUUAUCGUCAAUCAUGACUUUCCUUCGAUCCCAUAUUUUCUCAUCAUGUACAUAAUUUAUUGAGAUCUCUUGGUGUUCAUCUCUUAUCCCUUUACUGAGAUUUUGAACCUCUUCUGGGGCUAUUCCCACUCUUGGAAUAUGUGUUACUUCUGGAGCGAGUAUUCCUUCUGAGAUUCCCUUAUUUGCUUUUGAUUUUCGUGGUACAGUGUCUUUUGCACCAACCGGUCUUCCCCGCUUCUAGCGUGGUUUAGAUUCUUCUAUUACCUUAUUCGUCAAUUCUCCAGGAAUUGAUUUUUCAAUAAGUAUUUCUAUCCUUACUAGAGUAUUCACUACAGGUGUAUGUGACUUUAUCACUUUUCUAGCAUCAUUAAAUGCAUCUGGCAUUUGAUUUGCAAUAUUUUGUAAAUGAAUAAUUCUUUGAACUUCAAUUUCACAUUGUCCUGUACGAGGAUCAAGUGAAUUUAAAUCUGAUGCAUUCCAUGAUAUUUCAGAGGGUUUUUUAUUUAAAACUUUCUCACCUCCUAAUGGUAAAAAUACAGAUUCAUCAAAAUGACAAUCUACAUAACGUGCAGUAAAAACAUCUCCAGUUAAAGGUUCAAGAUAUCUAAUAAUAGAAGGAGAAUCAAAACCAACAUAAAUACCUAUUCUUCGUUGGGCUCACAUUUUAGUUCCUUGUGGAGGUGCAAUUGGAACAUAUACCGCACUUCCAAAUACUCGAAAGUGUGAUAUGUUGGGUGUCUGUCCAAUAACUAACUGUAGAGGAGAAAAUUUAUGAAGAGUCGUUGGUCUUACUCGAAUGAUGGCUGCAGUAUGAAGAAUUGCAAGACCCCAAACUGAGGUAGGCAAGUUAGUCCUUAACAUUAAUGGUCGUACAAUUAGUUGAAGUCUUUUUAUUAAAGAUUCAGCUAAACCAUUUUGUGUAUGAAUAUGAGGAACGGAAUGCUCAAUGGAGAUUCCAAUAGUCAUACAAAAAUCAUUAAAAGUCAUUGAUGAAAAUUCAGCUGUGUUAUCAAGUCGAAUUGACUUGAUUGGAUGAUCCGAGAACUGAGCCCGUAACUUGAUUAUUUGAGCAAAAAAUUUUGAGAAGGCAAAAUUUCAAGAAGAAAUAAGACAAACAUGAGACCAUCUAGUUGAAGCAUCUAUUAAAACCAUGAAAUAUCGAAAUGGGCCAGACAAUAGGUGAAUAGGUCCACAAAUGUCUCCUUGAAUUCUCUCUAAAAAUUUUAGGGCUUCUUUAUAAACUUUUACUGGUGAUGGUCGAACAAUUAUUUUUGAGAGGAUGACCAGUAGAAUUUUCAAAAAUACAACGUAUCAUAGAAGUACCUGGAUGACCGAGUCUUUCAUGCCAAAGCAUAAAAGAUUUGGGAUCUAUAAUUUUUAAAAUCAUAAUAUUAUGAGAGUCAAUUGCUCUAAUUUUCAUAGUAUAUAAUCCAGAAAAAUUUGAAUACAGUUUUUCUAGGAUAUUCUUUUUUUCAAAAAAAUUAGAAGUGAUGAGAAGAUAUUCAUUAUCAUUUUCAUUAGUUGUUUCAAUGUGAAAAUCAUUCAGUCGAAUAUCCUUAAAACUAAGCAAAUUUCUUCUUGAUUUACUAGAAUAUAGAGCAUCUUUGAUAAAAACUUGUCUCAUUUGGUAGCAUGAAACUAGCUUUUCCAAAUCCCUCGAUUAAAUUUGAUGUGCCAGAGAUAGUUCCUACAUUUUCCUUAACUUUGAUCAGUUGUGAAAAAUAUUUCUCACUUCGAAGGAUUGUAUGAGUUGUUGCAUUGUCUGCUAAACAUAUAUUCUCCAUAUCCAUUAAAAAUGGUCCGACACAUAAAAAUAUAAAUAAGAAAAAUUAUAUUUCAAAUAUAAUUUUAUUCAUGAUAAACACAUACCACGUAUAGAACGAAAACUAAUAAUAUUAUACAUGCAGGGUGUUUAAUUAAAACAAGAAAUUAAACGAUAUCCCAAAAGAUACUUUUAGAAGGUUCAAUAAUAUCAACAACCUUUUCCUCAAUGUUGGUCAUUGGUAGAACAUCAACAAUAUUCAAUUUAUGAUUAACAAAGUUUGUUUCUGCCUCCAUUACUUUGUUCUUUUGAGACUCCUGAAAUAAAUUAACUAGAUGCCUCGGCGUACGAUAGGUACGCGACCAAUGCCCAUUCAUUCCACACCUAAAACAAACAUCUGGUUUGUUCUUUAUCUGUGUUGCAUUUUUUUUAUUUUUACCCGACCCAGACACUUGCCACUUCUGGUGGCUUGAAUUGUCGCGAUUUUGAAAUUUAUUGUUAUGAUGGCCUCGUUUGUUCUUUCGUCCCCAAGAUUUCUUAUUAUAUGACCAUCUCUUGUCACGUUUAUUCUGCUGGAAUGACGUGUUGUUAAUAUCUGACAAUGAGCAAGCACCCGUUGGCCGUACUUGAUGGUUUUUCAACAACAAUUCAUUAUUCUUUUCUGCAACAAGGAGGAUAGACAACAAGUCACUAAAUUUUGUGAACUUACUCUGUCUAUAUUGUUGUGACAGAAUCAUGUUGGUGGGAUGAAAAGUUGAGCGUUUUCUCUAACAUUUGGGUUUCAGAAACUGGAUCUCCGCACAAAGCCAAACUAGAGGUUAUUCUAUAAACAUUGGAACUAUAUUCCGUAAUUAAUUUAUAAUUUUGUAGCCUUAAAUUAAGCCACUCAAAUUUGGCAUUAGGGAGAACAACCAAUUUUUGCUGAUCAAAUCUUUCCUUCAGUUGUGUCCAUAAAGACAAAGGAUCUUUGACUGUUAAAUACUCAGUCUUUAAUCCUUCAUCAAUAUGGUGACGAAGAAAAAUUAUGACUUUUGCAUUUUGUGUCGAUGUUGCUGUAUUUCCUGAUUUAAUGGUCUUUUCUAACUCAUUUGCACUAAGGUGCAAUUCUGCAUCAAGUGCCUAAGCCAAAUAGUUGUCUCCAAAGAUUUUCAAAAUAGAAAAAUCUAUUUUUGCCAAGUUUGCCAUCCUAUUAUGGGUUAAAACACAAUUAUUAUUUAUUAAAACAAUAAAUAAUUACAUGUAUGAUAUAAAAAAAUAAACUAAGUCACGACCUCAAGUGAUGAUAAAAUGCAAAUAUAAAUAUUCUUGUAUUUAUGUUAUUAGCAUAAUGUAAAUGAAUCUUCACCCGGCAUGCGGUAGUUCGCAUAGACAGGUUAUUCCAACAGAAUAAUAAAUAAUGAACAAAAGAAUUUCACCAUGCAUACGGUAGUCCGCGUAGACAAGUUAUUUCAACAGAAUAAUAAAGAAUGGAACCAAGUCAUGCGUAAUCCGCACAGACAGGAUAUUCCAAUAGAAUAAUAAAGAAUGGAAUAACAAUAGAAUUCACCAGGCAUGUGAUAGACCGCACAGACAGAUUAUUCCAACAAUUUAAUAAGAAAUGAAUACAAAUGAUUAUUCACCAGGUAUGCGGUAUUUCAUAUAUACAAGUUAUUCCCACAAUUUAAUAAGCGGUAAAAAGGUUCCCACCAAGUCUUGUAAGAUCAACUAGGAUAGAUGGUACCAUUGUAAAUAACAAAAUUUAAAGAUGGGCAAUAAAACAUAAAUAUAACUUGACAGUUAAUAUAAUAGGCGGCAAAGCCAAGCCAAUUGUAAGAAUAACAUUAUACUAUUGGUGGCAUAGCCAAAGCGGUGGUAUAAUAAUAAAUUGCAAGAAUUUAAAGGCAAUUAUAAAAAUAAAUUAUAUUAUUGGUGGCAUAGCCAAACCGGUAAUAUAAUAAUAAAUUGCAAGAAUUUAAAGGCAAUUAUAAAAAUAAAUUAUAUUAUUGGUGGCAUAGCCAAACCGGUAAUAUAAUAAUAAAUUGCAAGAAUUUAAUUUUACCGUCUCAGUUGGUUAGAGCAUCGUGCUGAUAACGUGUUAUAAAAUUUUAGCAAAGUAUAGAAAGAUACUCUUAUAAUUGCUGUAUAAAUUUAGAAAGAAUAAUUAAAAAAUAAAGAAAGAGAAACCUUCAGAGAUUUUCUUAUUAUUUUCUUCAGUAUUCAUUCCUUUAUAUAAGGAAUGAAUGAGAAGAGGAGGAGGAGAAAGAGGAGGGAAAGGGGAGUUACAGGAAGAGAAGUGGGGAAGAAGGAAGGAAGGAAGGAAAAGGGGGUCACGAGAGGGAAUCAUUUGUAAUAGUUUUUACAAAUCCCCAAAGCUUGAGAUGCAUUUUUGUGCAAGACGCAAAUAAUAAUAAUAAUAAUAAUAAUAAUAAUAAUAAUAAUAAUAAUAAUAAUAAUAAUAAUAAUAAUGGAGAAAAUUAAAGUGACAUCCGGAAUAGUAAUAUUUCAAAAGCAAUCCAAAAAUCCAGACAAUAAUACAAGAGCAGCAGGAUAAGAAUAUUAAGAUAGUACAGAACAUAUUGAGAGUAGUAUAAUUCAUUGCACAAGAACAAGGUAGAUACUAUCAAAAUUCAGGAAAAUAUAUGGGAAAAUUAGAUACUUCAGAUUUGGUGUUCAUUGCUUCCCCGUUGAUGGGCCACCUCAUGCUGGCUGUGGAGCUGGCAAGACUAAUGAUUCAUCGGGACAAACAACUCUCAGUCACAUUCCUUCUUAUGAAGCUGCCUUUCUAUUCCGAGGUCAAUGCCUUCAUUGACUCCCUAGCCACCACAGCCAACAUUCGCCUCCACUUCCACCAACUCCCACCACCUAAACCCAUCCACGAAAUGAGUUCCACAAAUCGAGGAGUAUCAACUCAUCGAGUAUCAGAAACCUAACGUCAGAGACACCGUUGCCAAACUGAUCAACGUUACAACUCGACCACGACUAGGCGGAUUUCUCGUUGAUUUACUGGGGUCAACGUUGAUUGAAGUUGCUGACGAGUUUGGAGUUCCCAGCUAAGUUUACUUCACGUCUGGGGCAGCUUUUCUCGGCCUCACGCUCCACUUCCAGACCCUCCAAGACGAGCUCAACCAAGACACUGCCGAGUUCAAGUACUCGGAUACUGAUUUAGUCACACCGUGCUUGGUAGAACCGGUUCCUCCUAAUGUGUUGCCUUCCCUAUUGGUAGACUCAGACACUUGGAAAGCAAGAUUCCUCAAGUACGCCCGUGCCUACAGAAAGGCUAAGGGAAUUAUAAUCAACACCUUUGCAGACCUCGAAUCUCAUCCUCUCGCUUCUUUCUCAAACCUUCCCUCUUGUUAUGGUAAAUCAAGAAUUCCCAAAAUCUAUGCGGUAGGGCCAAUCAUCUACCAAACGAGGCAAGAUAACAGGUCAGAGGGCAUUAUAAAUUGGCUUGAUGAUCAACCUCCAUGUUCUGUUGUUUUCAUAUGCUUCGGGAGCAUGGAAAGCUUCCGUUUGGAUCAAGUUAGGGAAAUAGCAUAUGGGAUCGUGCAGAGUGGGUGCCGGUUCGUGUGUGUCUUACGCCAACCCCCAGCAGCCAACAAGGUGGAUUUUCCCGGUGAGUAUAUGAGCUUUGAGGAGGUGUUGCCAGAAGGGUUCUUGGAUCGGACAAUAGUAAUUGGUAAAGUCGUGGGAUGGGUUCCGCAGGUAGCGGUUCUGUCCCACAGGUCUAUAGGAGGAUUCGUGUCGCACUGUGGAUGGAAUUCUAUAUUGGAGAGUUUGUGGUUUGGUGUGGUGUGGUGUGCCUAUACUUACGUGGCCCUUGUAUGCAGAACAGAAGCUGAAUGCAUUCCAGAUGGUUAAGGAGCUGGGAUUGGCUGUGGAGUUCCGUACAACUAUGUCAGAUAAAGCUUCCGGUAUGGCGAUCACGGCAGAAUUGAUAGAAAAGGGAAUAAGGAGGUUGAUGACGGAAGAUGAUGCUGAGGUGAUCAGAAGGAAAGUGAGAGAGAUGAGAGAGAAAAGCAGGAUGAACAUGCAAGAAGGUGGAUCUUCUUAUACAUCACUUGGGAAUCUCAUCCGGCACGUUAUCGACUGAUAUACAACCCCACAAUAUUUCUUAAAGAGUGAUAACUGAUGAUGAAGGAUGUUAUCACCAUUAGGAUACAAAAACAGAGGCUUGCUAAUUUUGGCAAUUCAUUUCUACCACAAUGAUUGAAGAAACUUAAAGAUUGUGUCUAAUGCUAUGAACAAAGGUGGUCGGCCACACAUUAUUUGGCCAUUUUGUUGUGUUUCAGCUCACCAAACUGUAGCAAUGUGUAUUUCCCUUAGGUACUCUUGCAGAACAGUCUAGAAAUAAAUACUAACAAAUAGUAUAAUUGAAAACUCAAAAUCAAAUGUUAUAGUCUGACUGGAACUUGGGCAAACAACUAUGUUCAUAUUGCAUAACCAAGACAAUUCCGUGAUGUUUUCCGUCAAAAGCAGUUCACAUGUCGAAGUCUCCACAACUAUAAAAAUUAUAAACAGAUUGUGCAUCACAACACAACUAGGGAGUACAAUCCUUUACAAAAUAAAGAACAUAAAACUUACAGGCACUGAAACAGCUUCCAAGAAUCAGUACGCACAUGGGCAUCCGUAAAAUCACCUAACACCGGUCUUGUGAUUGAUCAUACAAUCAAAGAAAGGCUCUUCUGACUUCCAAGUGCUUGUGGCUUUAUCUCCCAUGAUGAAACCUGAUGUGCUUCCUCGGGGAGAAUAAAAGGCAAGGAGAUCUCGCGGAUCAUCAAGUCGCCACAAAAUGGGCAUUCACUGGCGAUAGCAUCAUCCAACUGUGAUCGGAUCUGCCCAUUUGUUGCCAAUAAGUAAGUAUAUCCAAGUUUGCUACAAAGACACUGAGUAAAUAAGGGGAAUGACCGACGUAAUACAAAAAAAAAAUUACAAAAUCUAAAGCCACAAGGUGGAUUUUCCCGGUGAGUAUAUGAGCUUUGAGGAGGUGUUGCCAGAAGGGUUCUUGGAUCGGACAGUAGUAAUUGGUAAAGUCGUGGGAUGGGUUCCGCAGGUAGCGGUUCUGUCCCACAGGUCUAUAGGAGGAUUCGUGUCGCACUGUGGAUGGAAUUCUAUAUUGGAGAGUUUGUGGUUUGGUGUGGUGUGGUGUGCCUAUACUUACGUGGCCCUUGUAUGCAGAACAGAAGCUGAAUGCAUUCCAGAUGGUUAAGGAGCUGGGAUUGGCUGUGGAGUUCCGUACAACUAUGUCAGAUAAAGCUUCCGGUAUGGCGAUCACGGCAGAAUUGAUAGAAAAGGGAAUAAGGAGGUUGAUGACGGAAGAUGAUGCUGAGGUGAUCAGAAGGAAAGUGAGAGAGAUGAGAGAGAAAAGCAGGAUGAACAUGCAAGAAGGUGGAUCUUCUUAUACAUCACUUGGGAAUCUCAUCCGGCACGUUAUCGACUGAUAUACAACCCCACAAUAUUUCUUAAAGAGUGAUAACUGAUGAUGAAGGAUGUUAUCACCAUUAGGAUACAAAAACAGAGGCUUGCUAAUUUUGGCAAUUCAUUUCUACCACAAUGAUUGAAGAAACUUAAAGAUUGUGUCUAAUGCUAUGAACAAAGGUGGUCGGCCACACAUUAUUUGGCCAUUUUGUUGUGUUUCAGCUCACCAAACUGUAGCAAUGUGUAUUUCCCUUAGGUACUCUUGCAGAACAGUCUAGAAAUAAAUACUAACAAAUAGUAUAAUUGAAAACUCAAAAUCAAAUGUUAUAGUCUGACUGGAACUUGGGCAAACAACUAUGUUCAUAUUGCAUAACCAAGACAAUUCCGUGAUGUUUUCCGUCAAAAGCAGUUCACAUGUCGAAGUCUCCACAACUAUAAAAAUUAUAAACAGAUUGUGCAUCACAACACAACUAGGGAGUACAAUCCUUUACAAAAUAAAGAACAUAAAACUUACAGGCACUGAAACAGCUUCCAAGAAUCAGUACGCACAUGGGCAUCCGUAAAAUCACCUAACACCGGUCUUGUGAUUGAUCAUACAAUCAAAGAAAGGCUCUUCUGACUUCCAAGUGCUUGUGGCUUUAUCUCCCAUGAUGAAACCUGAUGUGCUUCCUCGGGGAGAAUAAAAGGCAAGGAGAUCUCGCGGAUCAUCAAGUCGCCACAAAAUGGGCAUUCACUGGCGAUAGCAUCAUCCAACUGUGAUCGGAUCUGCCCAUUUGUUGCCAAUAAGUAAGUAUAUCCAAGUUUGCUACAAAGACACUGAGUAAAUAAGGGGAAUGACCGACGUAAUACAAAAAAAAAAUUACAAAAUCUAAAGCCACAAGGUGGAUUUUCCCGGUGAGUAUAUGAGCUUUGAGGAGGUGUUGCCAGAAGGGUUCUUGGAUCGGACAGUAGUAAUUGGUAAAGUCGUGGGAUGGGUUCCGCAGGUAGCGGUUCUGUCCCACAGGUCUAUAGGAGGAUUCGUGUCGCACUGUGGAUGGAAUUCUAUAUUGGAGAGUUUGUGGUGUGGUGUGGUGUGCCUAUACUUACGUGACCCUUGUAUGCAGAACAGAAGCUGAAUGCAUUCCAGAUGGUUAAGGAGCUGGGAUUGGCUGUGGAGAUCCCUACAACUAUGUCAGAUAAAGCUUCCGGUAUGGCGAUCACGGCAGAAUUGAUAGAAAAGGGAAUAAGGAGGUUGAUGACGGAAGAUGAUGCUGAGGUGAUCAGAAGGAAAGUGAGAGAGAUGAGAGAGAAAAGCAGGAUGAACAUGCAAGAAGGUGGAUCUUCUUAUACAUCACUUGGGAAUCUCAUCCGGCACGUUAUCGACUGAUAUACAACCCCACAAUAUUUCUUAAAGAGUGAUAACUGAUGAUGAAGGAUGUUAUCACCAUUAGGAUACAAAAACAGAGGCUUGCUAAUUUUGGCAAUUCAUUUCUACCACAAUGAUUGAAGAAACUUAAAGAUUGUGUCUAAUGCUAUGAACAAAGGUGGUCGGCCACACAUUAUUUGGCCAUUUUGUUGUGUUUCAGCUCACCAAACUGUAGCAAUGUGUAUUUCCCUUAGGUACUCUUGCAGAACAGUCUAGAAAUAAAUACUAACAAAUAGUAUAAUUGAAAACUCAAAAUCAAAUGUUAUAGUCUGACUGGAACUUGGGCAAACAACUAUGUUCAUAUUGCAUAACCAAGACAAUUCCGUGAUGUUUUCCGUCAAAAGCAGUUCACAUGUCGAAGUCUCCACAACUAUAAAAAUUAUAAACAGAUUGUGCAUCACAACACAACUAGGGAGUACAAUCCUUUACAAAAUAAAGAACAUAAAACUUACAGGCACUGAAACAGCUUCCAAGAAUCAGUACGCACAUGGGCAUCCGUAAAAUCACCUAACACCGGUCUUGUGAUUGAUCAUACAAUCAAAGAAAGGCUCUUCUGACUUCCAAGUGCUUGUGGCUUUAUCUCCCAUGAUGAAACCUGAUGUGCUUCCUCGGGGAGAAUAAAAGGCAAGGAGAUCUCGCGGAUCAUCAAGUCGCCACAAAAUGGGCAUUCACUGGCGAUAGCAUCAUCCAACUGUGAUCGGAUCUGCCCAUUUGUUGCCAAUAAGUAAGUAUAUCCAAGUUUGCUACAAAGACACUGAGUAAAUAAGGGGAAUGACCGACGUAAUACAAAAAAAAAANNNNNNNNNNNNNNNNNNNNNNNNNNNNNNNNNNNNNNNNNNNNNNNNNNNNNNNNNNNNNNNNNNNNNNNNNNNNNNNNNNNNNNNNNNNNNNNNNNNNNNNNNNNNNNNNNNNNNNNNNNNNNNNNNNNNNNNNNNNNNNNNNNNNNNNNNNCCCCCGCCUUUUUUUUUCUCUCCUGGGUGCUUUAUAGCACAUGGAGGGUGGAGGGAACCCAUUGAUGGGUGGAACUAUCAAAAUGACACGAAUAUGUAGGUCUAUUUUAAAGUACAAAAUAAUACUGAAGAUGGAACAUGGUUAUUAUGUUUCACAUUCCACUUUCCAGGGCAUUUGAAUGCAGACAUCAUAGUGCAACAACCUCAACCCAGACAAAAUGUGGUGAUACCAACAAUAUUUAUAUAUAAAAAAUAAAGCAGUGACUAAAAAUAAUAUAAGAAACAUUAGAACUGAAAAACAAAAUUCAGAAAAAAGAAAUCCCAGAAAAUAUCACAGAAAUAUAUCAUAACCCUCUAUCAAAAUGCUCCAAUUUUAGUUGAAAAAAGGAAGUCUGGAAGAUAACCCAAAACAGACCUUAUCCACAGGGGUCAUCAUUCUUGUUAUUGCCUCAUUCCUGGUUAAGCCACCAUUUAUAUUCUCCUUCGGUUCACUACCCAGUAACGUAAGUUGCUUUUGUAAAUCCAGUAUACUUUCCGCCUGAAAUGUUAAUUAGAGCAGGAGUAAUUAAACCAAAUGGUUAUUUUUCUUAAUAUAGUUUAAAGUAACACAUCAACUGUAAAUUAGUCAAGACAGUUAUUCCUCCUUCAAUGUGCACAGCCAUGUCAAACUCUUGAAUCAACUUUGAGGAGCUCACCUUAAAAAAUUCUGCUUCAGAAUGGAAGAUAUCCACAAACUUGAAGUUAAAUAUGUUCCCACAUUUCAGCAUUGACAUGAGAACUCAAGCACUAANNNNNNNNNNNNNNNNNNNNNNNNNNNNNNNNNNNNNNNNNNNNNNNNNNNNNNNNNNNNNNNNNNNNNNNNNNNNNNNNNNNNNNNNNNNNNNNNNNNNNNNNNNNNNNNNNNNNNNNNNNNNNNNNNNNNNNNNNNNNNNNNNNNNNNNNNNNNNNNNNNNNNNNNNNNNNCCCCACCCCCAAAAUAAAUAAAUAACAAAACCCACAAACAAACAAAAAACAGCAGACACUCAACUUAAGCUCUAUCAUCAGAGCGUUGUAUUAGAGGGGGCUAAGGAAAAGGACGAAGGUGAGCACACAGAUAACUUUAGCCAGUGUUACCUGGUUCGUUUCAGUUCGUCAAACCAAUACGGGUAAGCUUAUCAUGUUUUAAAGAGUCACUUGGUGCAGAGAUUCUAAAAAAUAGUUGAAUUUAUCAAUCAUAUCUUAAGACAAUUUUAGACCAGGUUACUAACAAAUUAUACAGUUACUUCAUCAUGUCAAAUAAAUUCUUCAAACAGUUCAUAUUGAAAUGUCCUAAAGAUGCAACAUUUCACAUUUUCACUUAUACAAGCUGAAUAUAUACUGUAUAUAAAGAACGCUAUAUGAAAAACAUUAGCACUUACUUGAGAUUGGUCUGUACACCUCGUAACGUGAGUAAUCAGGCAUUGGGCAUGAAAAGCAUGUCCACAUGGAAAGACAUAGAAAGGGGCCAUUGGCCCUACUGAUGUAUAACCCCUAACCAUAUGAUAGUCCCCACCCACAGACAAAAUCUUCCUUCGGCAAACCUGAUGACUCCCAAGAGCAGCAAGUGAGAAAUGAAGUCAACAAAAAACUCAAGAAGAUCACUGUGGCAUGAGAAACCAGAAAGGUAAAAGGGGGUAAAGGGGGGAGGGGGGGAACAUUUAAAAGAGCAAGUGGAGUACAAAUUCCAUUUUCCCAUGUAUAUAACCAAAAUAUAGAAAUUCUAUUUGGAAAAUUUUUAGUAUUUACGUACAGUCGUACAAUAGAAUCCAAAUAACAGUUGAACCAACUUGAAGGGGUGCAAUGAUGUAAACAUGCAAACAGGUAGAUCUAACCAAAGAAGCCUGUAGCAAGUACGCACGUGUGUGUGUGUUGGUGUUGGGGGGCUGACAAGAAGUAUCGUCUGAAAAUUAUUACCCCACAUUCCUCAUCACGUUCAAUGACAGCAUAGCGUUGAGCAAGAGCAAUAAUAUCAUUUCUAAUGUUAUCUGCACCUUGUGUUGCAUCAUUCAUUUCCUCUUUCAGUUUUUCAAUCUGGUGGUUGUAAUCCUCUAAAGAUGAACAAAUUGCCUCCUACAAGCAUAUUGAAGGAAGUUAGUAACUGUAUGGAAGCUGAAGUUAGAUUUAUUUCCCUUAAACAAAAUAAACAAGGCCAGUCGCUAACUAUAACUAGGUCUCAGUCUCGGAUAAAUUGAUGUUACCUUGAAAUCAUCUAUCAGGGCAAAGUCCGGAAAGAAUGGUAGAAUAUCUUCAAUCUUUAACAACCCACCAGUUUCCUUGAGAAAUGCUAUUGCCUUCCGAAUAUUCUCUCUUUUAGUUCCCUUUUCCUGUUCAACAACAUGCUUGGCAACCAUAAGCCACAACUUCUUCCUCAAGUCUUCAUCAUCUUCUACCUUAUCAGCUUCAGCCAUAGCAAGCUCUGGAUCAACCUAAUGGAUCAAAAGGCAACUUAAGAACCAACAUAGAAUAGACUUGAAAAGAAAAAAUGUGCAGUAAAUUAUUAUCAAAUACGCAUCAUUUUACAUUAUAAGAAGUUACAUGCUGAUUUAUAUCUUCAGCAUGAACACAACUAGUCACCGACUCAUAGCUUGAUGACUCUCUCAGACAAAUAAUUUAGCAAGUUUGGGAAGAGAGUUUAAGGGCCCAAUCAUAGUUGUCACCGGGCCACAGCAAGGCGUGGCAAUAGCUGACCACCAUGACAUCCGUAUGACGACAAGUCAUUCAUAGUGGGCAAUUUAUACAUUAUUUAUUUUACUUCAAAAGUACAUUGAACAAUGAAAUUUUACACAAAUAUAACUUAAAACAUAAUAACUAACAGUAUCAACAUUCAACACUUUUUCUUUUUGGUAUGUACAAUCAAAUAUACAACAAUUAGAAUUUAAUUUUGUUACAGGCAGUCAAGCACAUAUAUAGCCAAGCACAUAGCCACAUAUUGCCAAAAUGGAAAAAACUUGCAUAUCACAGCUGGAAGCACAAGCAACUAACAUCUAUCAGCAAGCCACACUCGCUCAAUGCUUUGAAACCAAAAGAUUAAGUAAAUUUCCAUGGCUUAAAGUUGUAAAAGCUCGAGCAACUUAUGAACAAAGAGAAAAAGUCGCAGCUGACACCAACAAGAAGAUGAAAACCUUGCGGCAGGAGAAAAAGAAGUCGCUGGCAGGAGAAGCGUUCCGGCCGACAUCGCGAGUUGAAGUCUCUUUUAAUUCGCGGCAGUUAGAGAACUGAUAACUGUUGAAGUUCUUUUCUUUUAGGGUUCUCUCCCUUUUUAAGUUUUAAGUAGAUGGUCCAUGGCCCAUAAGGUUUAGAUUUCGGUCCAGCUGCUAAGACAAGUGCUUUGGCAGCUAGGCGUCGCCUUGGUGACGACUUCCUGUGCUUAGCUGCCAAGGCACUUGCCUUAACAACUGCUCCCAAGUCGACCACUCGCCAUGUUGCUUGCUCAUUGCCUGGACGCUAGGCGUCCUCUAGGCAACGUCAUGGCGACACCAUGAUAACUAUGGGCCCAAUGUGGUGACACGUGCACAAAACUCAUCCAACGAAAAUAUUGUUAGCCACUCAACACAUAGAGGUAUCAUUUGGAGACACAAAAAAUAUUGAAGGUAGAAACGAGUAAAAGGAAAUUUAGAUGGUUACACAUUUGUCUCACGGAAGCCAACUUUGUUAUUAUACACUUUAAACAAAAAAGGUAAAGAACUACAAAAAUACCUUGACUUGAAAGUGGAAGUUCUCAAAUGAAUGAGAUGAUAGCCAUAGGAUUGUAUUUUAAGUAAUAGAUGAUUUUGCUUUCAACUGUAAGCAGCCUUGUGUCAGGCCCAGCUAAGAUCCUGACCAGAAGUAGAGAUAUAAAUAGAGCUAGAUAGAGAGAAUUAGAUAGAAUUUUGGGAGGAAGAAAGAUAGAAAACUUAGUAAUUCCUACCGAGUUCGUGAGAGAAAAAAGAGAGAAAAUAAGGAGAAAACAACUUCAUUUCAUUAAUUCACUUCAUUCAUAAUGCUUGGAGAAUAAUUCUCACAUACAACUAUUUAUAGAGAGAGAAUACUAAAAGAUAAAGCUAUUAACCUACACUACUUUUUUUAUCCUUCACUCAAAUAUAACAAACAACCCCAUGUGUUCACAUGUUCACUCAAAAUGUACUACCUACUAGAAUAUACUAAUUAUUCCUUUGUUGUCCAAAAUACCCUCUGCCUGACAUUCCCUCCUCCUUAAAAGCAUGCAUGUUCUCAUUGAUAUUGCAGUUAUCACCACCUUUCCAAUGUCAAAAACAAAACACAGGAACUGGUUUAGUUGAACAUUUCCAUAGCAAUACUUUGAAAUUUCUUCCUUCUCAUAUUCUCCAAUAUCAAAAGUUAACACAAACAACUUCAUAUUUUGAUUUGGUGUAACUUCUCCAUUGCAAAAGCUUGUUUCAAUAUUAUCUUUAGCAUGCCUUUGAGUUCUUGAAUAUAGCCACCAUUGAUUCUUGUUGGUCUCUAGCUGACUUGUAAUACUUUUUGUUUGAUAUACAACUACAACUAUCACACAUUUCCAAAAUGAUCCAUCCUUUCUUGAAUUGUGAAGUAGGACAAACAACCCUUUAUUAUUUUUUUUGUUGAGCAUCAAUGCCCACCAAUAAACAAAUGUUAAUUCAAAAGCAAGAUUAAUGCACUUGGCUACCAUAGCCCAACCACAGCUAUUUGAAAAAACAACUGAAACAUCAUUUUUGUAGUUUCUUCAUUCACCAAGGGAUCCACUUCUGCUAUAGGGCCUGAAAGGAGUGGAAGCCUGCUAGAUUGGCAUAUCAAUGUAACACAAGAUAGAGGUGGGUAAUGUUUAACAAUUAAAAAUAAAAAUAACAAAAUAUAUAUAACAAAAAGGCCAUAAUUGGCAAGGAUAAUAAAUAAUGCAAAGAGCUUUGAAAUCGGAGAAAAAAUGACCAAUGAACUCUAAGUAAUAUAAAAGUAUACAGAGCCUACUAUACAACAUCCAUAGCCAUGUGCAUGUCCAAAGCAAAAGUAUUGGUUAAUCCAUAAACUCCCGUGCCUGCUACGAAGGUGGUUCAACAAGAUCUUGGGCUAUGACUACAUUAUUAGAAACAAAGGUGGCUAUGCCUACAUUAUUAGUAACAAGUAGGGAAGAAAAACACAAUGUAUAGCCACUCCAGUAAGCAGGAGACAUAAGUUAUCACUUAAUUCAUAGGACAUGAACUUCUUUGAAGGAGGGGGAAAUACUAAGAGGAACCCAACUAGUAGUAGAUUUCUGAUACUUAGUUGUGAUCAUAGUUGUUACGGAGCCACGGCGAGUCAUAGCGGUAGCCGACUGCCUGGACGCCUAGGCGACAAGGCGACCGCCAUGGCGUCCGUAAGGCGACAAGUCGUUUACAAUAUGCAAUUUAUAUUUUAUUUAUUUUACUUAAAAAGUAUAUUGGCAAUAAAAUUUUAUAUACAUUAAAACUCAAAACAUAACACUAUGGAAUAACAUUAAAGGCAUAAUUAUGUAAAUACUUAUCAAUAACAAUCCAAAAACAACACACUUGAUAUUAAAAAUUUGUAAAAGAAAUGAAGAAUUCAACAAACACCACAUAGAAAAUAAAAUUGCAACCAACCAUCACAAAUAUGUAGUCUAAUAACUAAUAAAACACCACCAUAGCAAGCCAAAAUAAUGUUUAGGCUCUCUACACUAGUCUAGACUCUAGAAACAUCAUUCAAUCAAAAUUAUCAUAGAAAAGGUCAUCUCCAUCUCUUCCACGAGAACUACUCUCAUUCAAAGGCGUAGGUGGUGGUCUUUCUCCAAAAUCAUCCUACACAUCUUCAUCAUCAUUUGGAAUUCUCUCUUCUUCAUCAACUUCAUUAUCGGAGUCGGAAUCUAUCAACCUUGAUUCCCUUGAAGUUGAACCACCACCACGUCGAGAGUAUGUCAUUAGAUUAUUACUAGUAUUAGCACGAGCACUCCUUGAAAGAUUGCGACCCUCAAGCGUGUUGGAUGCACCGGUUGCUCGAUCCACAUCAUUCCAUGUAAGAUCCCCCCGGGAUGAACAACAUCGGCAUCAUUAUCGAUCCAUUCAUUACCCCAUUCAAAGUCAUCAAUGACUAAUGGAUCAAAAUUAUUGCCAAGUUCACGCCUCUUUUGGAACCUUGAGUCGAUCUUUCGAUUGUAUUGGACAUACACCAAGUCACUCAAUCGUUUGUGUUCCAAUCUAUUCCUCUUCUUCGUAUGAAUCUAAAAUAAAUAGAACAAAAAAUAAUAAUAUUAAUGAUAAAAUUUUAAUAAUAGUGAAUGAUUUAUUACUUUUGAAAUUUGAACUAACAAUAGAAAGUACUUACAAACUCAAAUGUACUCCAAUUGCGCUUGCAACUGAAAGAAGAACAACAGAGGCCUAGAAUUCUUUUUGCAAAUGAGGAUAGGUCAAUAGCUCGCGCUCCAAAAGCAUUCCACCAAUCAACUAGCAAACAUUUAAAAGAAAUAUAAAUAUUUUUAAAGGGAGGAAAUGAAGAAUGUAUAUAAAUUAUAAUCAUAAUAUAUCUUUAUAUAUAUUUUAAUAUACGUACGAGGAUUCUUUAUUUUCCGUUGCCUAAUCACCAUUUCUCUUGCAAAAGUAUCGCGAGAAGCAUCAUAGUUGUCAGCUAGAUUGCUUAUCUUGUCUAGCAAAUCUAACUCGGGCACCAUCUUUGCAAGAACGUCAUUGAAGUCAUCUCGUAAAACAUUAGCAAACAACCAACGUUCCUCUUUGAUAUCAAAGUACUUGCCCGGAUUGAGAAACAACGCAGUCCUAUAUAAUUUUUGCUCCAUUUGAUUUUCCCAUUGCCGCUCAACAAUUUCAAUCACCUUCUUAUACAGUCUUUGUUUGUUAUCAAAUGCAUUUUUGAUUUUUUUCUUCGCGCAUUCCAUCGCAACAAUAACUUCAGGCAUAACAGGCUUCUCAACACUAUCAACAAUCCUCAAGACUAUAACAAGUGUUGUGACGCCCUAAUGCAAUCCUCAACAGUAUGCCAAAAUAUUGUUGAAAUAACAGUAUCACAUACUUUCUUCCCCACUUCAGUAGCCGACAACUUUGAUUUUGACCAAUCCUCGCUGAUGAACAAAUGCCUCAAUGCAUCUUUAUUCUUGUACAAACUCUGCAAGGUGAAGAAAGCUGUAGCAAAUCUAGUAACUGCGGGUCUAACAAGAUCCCUUCCAUUCGUUUUCUCCCUCAUCGCACUAAGAAGACGACCAUGUCUAUAAAUGAAUGUUGUAAUUCUCCUUGCAUUUGUGAUUGUGGGCUGAAAUUGCUUCAACUUACUUAUGUCCUCUAACAUAAGGUCAAGGCAGUGAGCGGCGCAAGGUGUCCAAAACAGUGUAGGUCUCCUCUCCAUUAGUAUAUGCCCCGCUGCCUUGUAAUUAGAGGCAUUGUCUGUGACCACCUGCACAACAUACUCGAGACCAAUUUCCUCGAUCUUGCUAUCAAGUAGAUUUGCCAACAUUGUGGCAUCUUGAGACUGACUGGAGGCAUCAACAGAACCCAUGAAAUAAGUCCCCUCCGGACUAUUAACAAAGAAAUUCAACAAGUGUCUUCCCCUUUUAUCUGUCCAACCAUCCGACAUGAGUGAGCAACCGUAUUCCUUCCAAGCAACUUCAUGUUUCUUCUUUAAGUCAUCGGUUUUCUUUUUUGCCUUCUCAAGUAAAGGAACCCUCAACUCAUGAUACGUUGGAGGCUUGAAACCCGGCCUAUGGACUCGACCAUUACUUCAAAUCUUCUUGAAUUUGCAGCAUUGAAUGGUAUGCCACAUUCGUUAAAAAAGUCGACAACGUGCAUUUGGACUCUCUCCUUUUCCUCCGGUGUCCUCAAACGACUUUCAAUACUCGUUUGACUCAAACGCUUGCUAUGCCUCUCCCCUACAACUUCUUCGGGAGUCUUCCUUAGAAGUGUUUCAACCGUUCUAGCUUUUGGUUAUGGAUUUUGGAAUUGAAAUACAACAUUCUUCCUUUUAGAAGCCGUCCCAGAACUUGGGAUAGUGUUAGAAGAAGUAUUGGAAGCCAUGGUUGGACGAGCAGAUGAUUGUUCUUCUUGCACUUCUACUACAUGAUUAUCAUCUAGCUCAAGUGGCUUGUUCCUCUUUCUACUAUUCAAAGCCGCUUGCAUCUCCCUCAUAAUUUCUGUUGUUGUUUUGGGACACUUAGCUACAUCUCCAUAAUUUCCGGUUAGAUGUUGUUUGAGCCUUUUGAUGCCCGAAUGACAUUUCUUCCCACAAAGUAUACAUUGCACGACAUCCUUAUUACUUAAAUCCGGCCAAUAUCCAUAUUUCCAACCCGGAUCGUUCGAUUUAGCUUUUCUUUUAGGGUCCUUCGUUAUAUCAUAAUUAUUGGCCCCCGAACUUUCCGCUAUUUUACUUCUACACAAUACAAUAAAAUAAAAAAUAUAAGACAAACAUAUAUAAUAUAAUAUUUAUAUAUAGUGAUAUCAAAUAGCUAAUAAUAAUUCAUAUUAUUUAGUCCAAAUGAUGAGUUAACCAUAAAGUUAAGGUCAAAAUAAUAACUACCAGUCAUGCAUUUAUCCAUUAUAGCAUACUAAUCACAGUAGUACUACUAUACUAAUUUACAUAUAAUUAAAAAAUUCACAAUCAUUAUUUUCCAUAUUUGAUUAAUUUCUUUCUUUCGGUGAAAUAUCAAAUAUGUACUUACAAAAAAAAAAAGAUAACUGAUUAAGGUAAAAAAAAAAAGCCAAACAGGAACUUAUACAUAUAUAAAUAUAUAUAUAUAUAUACCCAACAGCAAAUGCAAAGCAUAAAGGCUAAAAAAAAGGAACUGCAUAUAUAUAUAUAUAUAUAUAUAUAUAUCCAACAGCAACUCAGCAAGUGCAAAGCAUAAUNNNNNNNNNNNNNNNNNNNNNNNNNNNNNNNNNNNNNNNNNNNNNNNNNNNNNNNNNNNNNNNNNNNNNNNNNNNNNNNNNNNNNNNNNNNNNNNNNNNNUUUCGCCGUCGCAGUCGGCUUCGUCUUCUCUCUCUCUCUCUCUCUCUCUCUCUGUUCGCUCAGUCUUGAUGAUCGAUCUGAGAUUCUAAGUUCUUCUCUGUGAAUCGACGACUACAUUGGGCUAGGUUUUGCAUAGCAACGUCGUUCGACCAGCCGAAAGUUGUUUUUUAUCCAGUUCAGAUUUGGAUCGACCCAUGAGAUCAAGGCGCUCGACUAACUGGAUAGUCGUCGCUGCGUUGUCCAAGGCGAUGACUUUUUGUGAUAGGCGCUCGCCUUUAAGCCAUCUACCAAGUCGGAAGCUCGCCUUACCCAUUUCUGCUCGACUGGACGACUUGGCGUCACCUAGGCGACGCCUUAACAACACUGGUUGUGAUGGUAUUUUUGUUAGUAUAAUAUAUUUUAGUAGCUAUUAGAUAUACUGACUUCACAUGACAUACAUGCAUGGUUGUAAGGAUAAGAAUGAGUUAGAAGAAUUCAAGUAUGUUCUACCUAAUAGUAUAAAUAUGAAUAGUGGUGGUAAUAUCCUCUCUUUUUUUCCUUUUUUUUUUGCUAAAUUGGAUUUGUAUUUAAAUGGAAAACAAUUACAGUGGCAAAGGGGGCAUUCCCCGUAACAAAUAGCAUAAACAUCACAUGGACAGACCCAAUGAAGUGGCUACUAUAAACAGAGGAAGAUAAACCAAUGGGAAAGAUCAUGGUGGAGAAAGGCCUUGUGAAAGAAGUUGGAACCCUGUAACCUGCAUUUAACAAGGUUGAGAACUUCACUAGCUAAAGUUCUAGUUAGAAUAGAAGACUGAUCCGGAUCAAAAAUUCUAGAAUUCCUUUUAAUCCAAAGCUAAUAGACUAUAGUAGCAAAUAGAAGUCGCUGGAUAAGGACUUCAAUGGCAACACAUUUAUAUCUAGUGACCUUAAGUAGCACAUCAUUCCACUUGGAUGAUAUUCGAAGCGCUAAGGCAAGAUGCGGCGGUAGUUGACAUCCAGGACGCCAAGGCGAUAAGGCGUCAGCCAUGACAUCCGUAAGGUGACAAGUCGUUAACAAUGUGCAACAUGUUGUUUAUUUUAUUUUAAAAGUAUAUUGCGUAAUAAAAUUUUAUACACAUUAAAACCCAAAACAUAAUAACUAACACUAUGGAAAAGUCUCCACUCUCUACUAUACUCUAGUCUCUAGUCAAAGCUCAAGCAAAGUCAUUAAUUAUAAAGUCAUUUCCAUCUCCCUCACGGCUCGUUGCUCUCAUUCAAAGGAUUCAAAGGAGUAGGAUCAUUAGUUAGGUUACUUGGGUAAUAGAAAAUUUCCAUGGGUUAUGAUGAGUUAUGGGUAAAAAAUGACUUCAUCACAUAACUUGGGCCAACUAUCAAUGCGUGAGCCUUGGCUGCUAGGCGUCCAAGCCAUUGCCUUACCCUUCUCUGAUGCCAAGAUGUCAUGACAACGCCAUGACAACUAUGACGCCAAUCGCAUUGUUCAAAGACUUAUAUUAGAACCUCAAAGGACUAUGAGCAUCUAAAGAAAAGAUGAUUAAGAUUUUCUAGAUGAUAGAGCAAAUAUGAUCCGCUAGUCAACCAUAGCCAAUUAGAAUAUCUGCAAUAAAGAUUCUUCUGAGGACGACCAGCCAUAAUAUAAAGGAGUAUCUAGGGACACAAAGUUUAUGCCAAACAACAUUCCUCUACUCAAAUUCAAGGCCUGAUUGUGUAAUAGAUUGCCAAAUGGUUAUUGCAUUUCAUUUUAGAUAUCUAACUGAUUCCAAAGAACCACGUCGUCAGAAUUAACAUUAAAAGUCGAGGUAUCCUCAAAGACCUGCUUGAGCUUGUGCACAAGAAGAUGAUUAGACGUAAGCAUGGUCCAUGAAUUGUUAACAAUAAGGGAACUUAUAUUAGCAUGAAUCCCUAAUCCUGAGUAAGAUACAAAAACUGAAAGACCAAGUCAGAUAGUCGUGACCUAGCUAUGGGUCAAACCACAAGCUAAUAUGGGUGUCAUCACCAAUCUUAUAAUUGAUAUACUUUUUAUUUAAAUCUCUGAGUUGCGAAACCUUUCUCCAAAUCCAAGAAAAGUUCUGAGGAACAUUGACAAUCAAAUAUUUUGAAGCUUUAAAACGGUGGAAUGAAUCCAUAGCCCAAAACAAGGUUUACUUUGAACCACUUUCCACAGCUGAAAAAGAAUAAAGGAACUAUUCCAAUCAUCAAGACUUCUAAUACCUAACCCCCCUUUCAGUAAGUGGUAAGGUAAUGUUGAGAUAAGUUUCUCUCCCUUAUCCCUUUCCUCAACCGCAACUUCUUUCUUUUUCUGCUCGUCCUUUCUCUCUCCAACUCUAAAUUUGAACUUUAUUUCUUUGUAUGUCUGAAUAAUUGUAAGGAUCCAGCUUGAUCUUAACAUAAUAUGUCCACCUUUAUAUAAUCUCCAAGGAAAUGUUUUAAAAAAAAAACUAGAUAUGUAAAUAUAUUUUUUUCUGUGUGUUUGAUUGUGUGAAUCCAUGUACGCUUGUAAAAAUAAAAGUGAUGUCAAAUGAUGUAAUAGAGAAUCAGAUAAUCAGUUGAAAAUAUAUAAAACUAGUUACAAAAUGGUAUUACCUGGAGAGCAAGAGCAACUGCUUCUUCAUGCAUAGACAUCAUGCUGUAUAUAUGAACACAGGCACGCAUUCGUUUCUCCUUGAGGCAAAGACGCAAUGCAUAUUUGGGAUCAUAAAAGAAAUCAGGGCCAUUAGCUCGCCCCUUGCCAAAUUUACAUUGUAGGAACCGCAAUAGGGAACUUUCAUCUUCCUGAACAUGACAUCAAAGGAAAGUUUAAAUUAAAUUUAUUAGUGGCUCUAUAAAUUCAUCCUCAUAUUUUAAAAGGAUAUUCACACCAAAUAAAAAAUAAAAAAUUACAAGGAACUAUGUAAUGCAAAUAGAUAUAUUAAGAAGAGUGGGAGGCUAAACAGAGGUAGAGAGACUAAAGAAUUAAAAUGCAUAUAUGAAUUCAAAGCAAACAGAGAGAAUCAUGAUUUAUCACGAGUCAAAAUAAAUUCAAAUACCUACCAUGUUCAUUUUGAAACUAUAGGAUCGCAUAGAUGCAUUGUUGAGUGAAUUUUAAAUUUUAUAGUUCUUGAAACACACAGACAAACUUUCAUUAAAUUUUAAGAAAUGUUUUCAAAAAUAUCCUCAAU